rnacentral:rRNA from 2 species
AAUCAAGUGCCUUAAGGGUGUUCGGUGGAUGCCUUGGCGCUGAGAGGCGAUGAAGGACGUGCUACGCUGCGAUAAGCCGUGGGGAGCUGCGAAGAAGCUUUGAUCCGCGGAUUUCCGAAUGGGGAAACCCACCUUCGAUAGCCGGAACUCCAAGACCUUGUGGUUUUGGGGUUUGACCAGAAAUGAUCGGAACCAUGACCUCUUGAGGUUUUGGAUUUCCGGUUAUCAAGAGAAGGUAUGAGACCUCCGAAUAAAAUAGGAGGUUUUAAGCAAACCCAGGGAACUGAAACAUCUAAGUACCUGGAGGAAAGGACAUCAAUCGAGACUCCGUUAGUAGUGGCGAGCGAACGCGGACCAGGCCAGUGAUACAUCAAAGACAAUCGGAACCUGUCAGGAAAGCAGGGCCU